rnacentral:rRNA from 1 species
AGAUUGAACGCUGGCGGCAGGCCUAACACGUGCAAGUCGAGCGGCAGCACGGGUACUUGUACCUGGUGGCGAGCGGCGGACGGGUGAGUAAUGCCUAGGAAUCUGCCUGGUAGUGGGGGAUAACGCUCGGAAACGGACGCUAAUACCGCAUACGUCCUACGGGAGAAAGCAGGGGACCUUCGGGCCUUGCGCUAUCAGAUGAGCCUAGGUCGAUUAGCUAGUGGUGAGGUAUGGCUCACCGAAGGCGACGAUCCGUAACGUGGUCUGAGAGGAUGACUCAGUCACACGUGAACUGACGAC